AUUGAACGCUGGCGGCAUGCCUUACACAUGCAAGUCGAACGGCAGCGGACCUUCGGGUGCCGGCGAGUGGCAAACGGGUGAGUAAUAUAUCGGAACGUACCUUUCAGUGGGGGAUAACGUAGCGAAAGUUACGCUAAUACCGCAUAUUCUGUGAGCAGGAAAGCAGGGGAUCGCAAGACCUUGCGCUGAUUGAGCGGCCGAUAUCAGAUUAGCUAGUUGGUGAGGUAAAGGCUCACCAAGGCGACGAUCUGUAGCGGGUCUGAGAGGAUGAUCCGCCACACUGGAACUGAGACACGGUCCAGACUCCUACGGGAGGCAGCAGUGGGGAAUUUUGGACAAUGGGCGCAAGCCUGAUCCAGCCAUGCCGCGUGAGUGAAGAAGGCCUCGGUUGUAAG
rnacentral:rRNA from 1 species